rnacentral:rRNA from 1 species
AGCUCCAAUAGCGUAUAUUAAAGUUGUUGCGGUUAAAAAGCUCGUAGUUGGAGUUCUGCCAGGUGCCGCCUGUCCGCCCCAGUGGUGAGUACGUGGCGCGCAUUUGGCCCUUUCAAGGGGAGCGUAUCUGCACUUUAUUGUGUGGUGUGGGUCUCCAGACUUUUACCUUGAGGAAAUUAGAGUGUUCAAAGCAUGCAAAAGCAUUGAAUAUGUUAGCAUGGGAUAAUGAGAUAGGAUUUCGGUUCUAUCUUGUCGGUUCAUAGGACUGAGGUAAUGAUUAAUAGGAACAGCUUGGGGCAUUCGUAUUUCAUUGUCAGAGGUGAAAUUCUCAGACCAGCGGAAGACGAACCACUGCGAAAGCAUUUGCCAGGGAUGUUUUCA